rnacentral:lncRNA from 1 species
AACAAUUAGGAAAUAAAAAAAAAUAAACUAAUAAUAAUAAAUAAAACUAUAAAAGUAAAUAAAUAAAUAAAUAAAAUCAUACUAUAUUUUACAUCAAUGAAAUUGAAGUUUCAAAGUUAAGGGCCACCUUUGAGGAAAGGAAGGGUUUAAGGGUCGACACUCGUGACUCGACAUUUAAAAAGCUGAUAACAGACUAAUCAUACUCUUGAAACUAGAUCAAACGAACCCGGCGUGAUUUUGCCGCCACCGCAAAGCCUGGGCAUCGCCAAUUCUCAUUCCCGACGAAUGGAGACAUCUGCACCAUCUUCCUCAAAGCCGCGUCAAGCACCUUUUCGUUACUUCUACUGUAACUGCUUCAAACGCUGUUGUCGUUGUUUCUGCUGUUUCUACUCUUACCCUUAAGGUUGUAACCUGAAAACCCUAACUUCUUCUAUAUGCUAACUUUUAUAUAGAUGUCCACCACUUUAAACCCUAACGUCUGAAAUAAUCAAAUUUCCAAACUUCUAAUUGGAUUUACCUCUAUGUAGAUUGGAUUAGAUGUUCUUAGUUUCACAUUUUUGUUUCAUGUAACAUGUGAUGUGAUACAAUUACAUUAAUUCUGCUUCUCUACAGCUUUAAAUCAGGUUGUGGGUACAAUUUAUUGGGCAAGCAGAAGCAGUUCAAUGAUUGAUUCUGAAGAGGGUACCUUUUCUUCUAUUACUUGAUCAUGUAAUAUAGUAAAUAGUAGAAAAAGAUGGGUAGCACUUAGCAGCCAUUGAAAGGUAGUUGCUUAAGUCUAAGAUAGGUUAUGUAUAUGAAUCGUCAAACACUGUGUGGAAUGGGAAGGGAGAAUAGCUGAAAAAAAAUCCUUUUUGUUUAUAAACUAACUGAUAAUUAAUUAGGAUUAUUUUAUAAAAAUUAGCGGAUGACAAAUCAGAAUUGAAUUCUAUAAUAUUUUUAUACACUUAAAUCAUGAAGUCUGUAAUAAUAUAUACUUAAAUCAUAUAAAGUUAUUUAUUUCGUAACAACAAGAAUAUUCAGACAGUAGUUUACAUUAUCAAAAUUUAUGUCUCUUGUAAAGCUGGACAACUUGCUGUUGAAAAUUGAAAGUUGAUUACAAAGAGAAAAACCCAACAAGAAACCAAAGGAUUCCAACUAAGAUUUCAAGUCAAGCAAAGCUGUUAACCGCUUCUUUGUAAUUAAUUUCUUUCAUUAAUUAAUUAUUUUCCGCGUCAUUUUCAACACCACGUGAAAUCCAAUUUUAUCCAAUAUUACUGUAAAACCUUUUUUUUUAGAUGAUAAUACAUAAGAAUAGUAUCACAUUGAUACAAGAUAAAUUUUCAAACAUUAUAUAACAACAUUAUUUUUAAUCAUCUUUUUAUUUCUUUGAAUAAAUCAAAAUUUACAACCUAUUCAUCUAUUGUCUAAAAAACCUUUUAUCUUAUUUCAAAAAAUUUCCAACCGGAAAAGAUAAAAUAUUCAUCUAUUGUCUGAAAGAUCCAAUUAACACUCAAAUAUUCUUUUCUGAAAGAUCCAAAAAAACAAAUGGG